rnacentral:other from 1 species
AAGGCCCUGUAUCUAUACACGAGUAAAUAGGACCAACACCAUUAAACCAGGGAACCGGACUCUGGGCGUUGAUUGCAGGCCUCCUCGAGAGGAAGCAUGACCCGUCCAGGAGGUGCCCACUGUGCUUUGAUGAGGUUCUACUCUACCGUUGUAUGGAUACAGGGCUUUU